rnacentral:rRNA from 1 species
GAUGAACGCUAGCGGCAGGCCUAAUACAUGCAAGUCGAACGAUACCAGAGAGCUUGCUUUCUGGGAAAGUGGCGCACGGGUGCGUAACGCGUAUGCAACCUACCUUAAUCAGGGGGAUAGCCUCUCGAAAGAGAGAUUAACACCGCAUAAAAUCACACUUCGGCAUCGAAGAAUGAUCAAAUAUUUAUAGGAUUAAGAUGGGCAUGCGUGACAUUAGCUAGUUGGUAAGGUAACGGCUUACCAAGGCUACGAUGUCUAGGGGAUCUGAGAGGAUGACCCCCCACACUGGUACUGAGACACGGACCAGACUCCUACGGGAGGCAGCAGUAAGGAAUAUUGGUCAAUGGGGGCAACCCUGAACCAGCCAUGCCGCGUGCAGGAAGACGGCCCUACGGGUUGUAAACUGCUUUUUANACGGGAAUAAAUCUCGCUACGUGUAGUGAGUUGAAUGUACUGUAAGAAUAAGGAUCGGCUAACUCCGUGCCAGCAGCCG